rnacentral:pre_miRNA from 1 species
UUUUUGACUGCCAUUGUGAAUCAGACCUCAGUUGUCAUGGCCUCUAGUGACUAGCGACCAGUCACUGGAGUUUAUGACUAACUGAGGCCUGAUUGACGAUGUCAGUGAAAAG